UCCGCGUGGUGUACUGUGUUAUCUGGAGAAUCGCCAUGCUUUAUCAGGCAACGUAUUGUUAAUCCAUACUUUGUUAAUUUCAUUAAAUAAUUCUUUUACGAAGUAACGAAACACACUUCAGACUCAAACUAUAGACACAGGAAGUAACAAUAAAUCAGCGAACACACAAUGGAGUAAGCGUGUUUGUGCUUCCUAAUGUACAAACCGAGAGAAUAGACGAGGUUUGGAAUUAGGGAAGCGACCCGAUACAUUAUUUUAAAUGUUUACAGUGAUAAACACGCGGAAAAGACGGCACUAUAUCUAUCGUUACAAAGAACUUGUCGAUUCCCAUAGACUUCAAUCGGCUUUACAAAGAUCAAAGAGAUUUUUAUAGGAGCUAUUAACAUUUUCUUUAUUUUUCCAUUUUUCUAAAAAACUUUGUAUGUUACCAAUUGUUAAACCUGUAGCUUACUUUUAAUUAUCGGUGAUGUUCUUUGACUUUGGUUAAGUUUUGAUCAAUGUAGAAUAGAAAACAGAAUAAUGCCGCAGAACCAACAUACAACGGUAAAUUGUCAGAGUCAAAAAACAAAAUUAAUGAACAACAACAGGUACUGAGAAGACACGGAAAACAAACGGAAAAACAACAGAAACUCGGAAUACAGUGGAGAGCAACAACAGAAAAUGAGAAUAGAGGGAAUGUGCAAAAAGGAAGACGACAACAAAAACUGAAGAUAAAGAGAGAGAACAAAAAGGAGGAAGACAAAAGAAAAUGAGGAUACAUUGAUAACAAAGAUAGUGCCAGGAUCUGACCGAUAUGUUGAGGGGAGGAGUGAAGUAGCCAAACAAACAUCCUUAGCGAUGGAGAACAAAAGCUGGCACGAAAAUUCAACAAUGUCAAUCAAGGAAAGGUCCAUGGAAAGAGGAAACAAACGAACCCUUCAACAAAGCAACAAAAUUUGAAACGAAACCAGCAGCACUUGGAGGGUGAGCAAUCGGGAUGCUCUGAUUUGUCCGAACACUCGCGAAAUGCAGACCAUAUUGACACAAUCAAAUAACUGUCUUAAUUGUGACGCAGAAUGUUGCUGAUGACUACGAUGAAUACCUUAAACCGAUGGCACAGGGUACAUUCCUGGUUACUGCAGCAUUGGCAGGGACAUUUCUCUACGGUAGCAGAAUGUCAAAGCGUAACAUGGUGGACAGUUAUCUAACGGCGCAUCUGGACGAUUAACCGGCAAUUAUCGCUAUAAUUACAACGGUGUGGUUAUUUCUAUGAUGAAUGCAGCAAUUUACAGGAUAUUCCCACUGAAAGGUCACUACUGUUAUUACCACAGCCUCCUUAUACAGGACAGAUGGAUGUAUGGGGUUUAGUUGUCGCAAUGGUGAUAAAAAUACUAUUGCAAUACAGCUUUGUAUUAUUUCCAUUUUUAUUGUUUGUAUAUUGAACACAAAAUUAAUUUAUGAAAUAUAAAAGAAAUGGUUUGAUUUGUUUUCGAUAUUUUUGAAAUAAAUGAGAUGUAUCUUAUAUCCCUGUUUUGCACGCAAUGGCGACAUGUGGGACAUCAAUGUUGUACUUUCGCCUGCUUUGAUUCUCUGUUGUAACAUUCAUUAAGGACACUCAUGUAACAUAGAGGGACACGCAUCAUUGGAAACAGAAAGUGGAUAAAUAUUUUAAAGCACAAUUAAAUUAUGUCGUUUUGUGUUACCUUUUUGUAAUCGGUACAAUAGUUCGUUCGUUAUCAUACAACUGUAGUGUUAUCUUUAGAAAUUUACAAA
rnacentral:lncRNA from 1 species